AUUCCAUAGGUGGAGACUUGUGAUAAUAUAUUUCACCUUCUGGAACCUUUCACCGCCUCAUCUCCUUCUCUACUUUUCUUCUUCAUCUCUAGCUUCAUGGAUUCGAGGUCCCCACCGCCGAAGACACGACAGCCGCCACAGUCGGUAUGGCCCAACCUGACCUCACCUCCGGAUUUCGGUUCAGUAGAUAUAUUUCGGCCUUCCGCAAUCCAUUUGCUUCCCUCUCAUCCCACCUCCACCGUUGCCUACCUCCGUUAGGGUUCACCAUCUAAUCUCAGCAACUUCCAUUACCUGUGUACACUUCUUGCUGGCCACCACCACUGUCGUCUUCCAAUUGAACAACCACGACCACCACCUGUGUACACUUCUAUGUGUUGUGAUCGAAGUCUCGCUUCUGCUUCUUCUUCUUUUGUUGAUGAAAUCGAAGCUAAUCAUUGUUUUUGCUAUGUUUUGCUUUCGCUAUUCUUCAGGUUAGAGGGAGCGUAAAUGGUGGAUGGAUGUUGGAGCGGUAGUCGGCAGGUGGGUGGCAUCCUUGAUAUUGCAGAAUGAUCGACCAAGGGGGUGUUUUUUUAUUUUGAUUUUGUUUUUCUUUGCUUUGUUUUGACUGAAAAUCAGUGGAGUCUUGAUGGGUUUUGGGUUUGAUUGUUCUUGACAGAAAAGGAGCCCAACAUAAUUUCAAUAGGUGUUUACAAGUUACCUGCUAUUUCACUCUGCAACCCAACUGCUCAAUGAAAUGCUUCAAUCAGGUUAUGUUAAUUAUUGAUGGAUGACCGACAUUAUUUAAUGUAAUUUAUGUUUCAGAUUAAUCACUAAGAUUUUGAAUGGUAAGUUAUUAUAUCUGUUAACGAUAACUUUUCAUAUGCAUGACUUGGAUUCGUGAUUAAAGAUAGAAACCCAUCAUGUAUAGAGUUAAGGAGAUUUUCAAUGAAUUGGAAUAUAAGUGAUAUUGUUUGCAAUUUUGCCAUUUAUGUUUGUUAUUCCAAUUAUCAGUUGAAUUGGAUUCUUUUGUUUUUUUCUCUGCAGCGUAAACUAAAACUGGCAAAUUAUUCAUUUUCAAUUUUCACUUGGGGUGGGAUGAUAUGCUUAUCUUCUUUCCCCAUUACCAAAUUUGAUUUGUCAGGUGCUGAAUACGUUUCACUUCUAAAUCCGAUAGUUUUGAUGCAGAUCGGACAUAUUAUUUAAUGUUUAGAAUAGAUCCUCUACAAAAAGGAACCAUAUUAUGAGAAGUUUCUUCAAUCCACGCUUCCAAUGGUUUAGUUAUUUUCGAUUGAAGAAUUAUAUAGGAUGGAUGCUCUACUGUGAAAAUAAGCAUAAAGGUCAAAAUGGUCUAUUUAUGGAAUAUGUCAAACUUAUAACUUAAAUUUCUUAAAAAUGGUCUUUUUUAUUUAAAGUCACCUUAUAACUUCAAUUUCUUCAAAAAUUUCCUUUUUAGAAUUAUGUUACCAUCAUACAUCUUUAUUAUUUUUAUAACAAACAUUCCACUGUCGACAUGGGAAGGCUUAUCUGUUUGACAAGGUGUAAGUGUUCUUAUUUUAUGUUUUAACCUUUUGGAUCUAAUUAAAAUGUCCAUACAUAUUAGAGUCGGAUUGAGAUGGAAGGUUGAUAAACUGAGCCAAAUUAAAUCUCAGAAAAUCAUUAUCAUACCACUUAACUGAAAUUCCUUAGCUCAACCAUAUGAAAUAAGGAAAAUUCGAAUUUCAACUGUACAAUUUUUCGCUUAUUUACUACAUGAAAACCUUCCAAUUUAAGUCAACAUGCUCUAAUUAAAAUGUUCCAAUUUUGCAGAUUUUUUUGAUCAAUGAAUAUUACAGGCUGUCAUAUCCAUUCACCAGCUAACAACAUAUAUGCAAAUUUCACAUUCAAUCGAAUACUUAAAAACACGGUGGGCCCAACAACAUGAGAUUGGAUAUAUGCUUAUGAACAUCUUUUAGGGGCUUGGAACCAGUGGCUUCACAAUGCCAAACAAUUCAAAUGUGCCUCCGGAAGAAUUGUAUGCUACACAGCUGGCACAACUACAAGAAAUGGGAUUCUUUGACACACGUGAGAAUCGUCAAGCACUGACAGCCACCGUAGGUAAUGUUCACGCCGCAUCUGAGAGUUUAUUUGGAAUUCUUGGUUAAUGUCAGAUAUGGAAUAUUGAUUAAGUAAUUAAUGUCUUUUGGUUUAUCAUUUAAAUGUAAUGUCACAUUUUGGUGUAUGAUUUAUAUGGAUGUUUUUUCCUAGAGGAAGAAGAACAAUGUAUUUGCAAACUUGCAGGUAAGGCAUUACAUGAAAUUGUUCUUCCUUUUAUUGUCUGCAAUUGUGUCCGUUUGUAUCUUUCUACAUUUGUUUUUUGGUUGGAACAUCUUUUUUCCAUGUGCAUUCGUAAUACUUUGAUUACACAUAUUUCCCUAUUUGUUGAUCGUAAUUGUUGAGGUCGGUGAUGCAGUUUUUAAGGUGUUUUAUAUUUCAGGAGAUACACAUCUUGGUAGUGAAUAGUAACGGAAAAAAUUGUCGCAUCCGACCCCCGCAACCCGGGAUCCCCACCUAGUUUAGAAUAUAAACCCCAUCAUUUCAUUAUAUACUUAUAAAGCUAGCAUUUUUUCUUUCACCACAUUCAUUUGAAACUCCCAUUCAUUUUUCCUUUCACCACAUUCAUUUGAAACUCCCAUGACUUUUCAAUUUCUUUCUAAUAAUGAUUAUAAGUUGGUUAAUGAGAUUAAAUAAAUAUAAAACCUAAAGUGUAAUCAAAUAUAAACUAAAUUUCAAUAUUAAAAGAAUAUAUUUUCUUUUACUUAUAAUAUUAUGUUUUUAACUUUUAACAUAUUAUACUUAAUUUAUUAUGUCUAAUAUGUUGUUGUAUGUAAACCAUUAUCAUUUUAAAGCUACUACUUUUGAACAAUUUGUAUAAAAUACUUAAAUUGUUAAUUUAAAUAUAACCUUACAGGAUCAACUUAAAUAUAAAUUUUAGUUCAACUUAAACAACAUAAAGAAUAUUUUAUAAAUAGUUAAAAGUGAUAAAUUGUAGUGUCUUUCUAAUAAUGAUUAUAAGUUGGUUAAUAAGGUUAAAUAAUUAUCAAACCUAAAAUGUAAUCAUAAAUAAACUAAAUUUCAAUAUUAAAAUAAUAAUUUUACUUCUACUUAUAAAGUUAUGUCUUUAACUUUUAACAUAUUAUACCUAAUUUAUUAGAUUUAAUAUGUUGUUGUAUGUAAACCAUUAUCAAUUUAAAGCUACAAAUUUUGAACAGUUUGGACAAAAUACUUAAGUUGUUAAUUUAAAUAUAACAUUACAUGGUCAACUUCAAUAUAAAUUUCAGUUCCACUUAAAAAACCCAAAGAAUAUUUUGUGAAUAGUUAAAAAUGAUAAAUUGUAGUGCUAAAUGCAAAAACUAAAUUGUAAUAUCAUUUUAACAAAAAUAUUUCCUAAAGAUAUUUUUAUAAUCGUUAAAAGUUUUCAAAUAAAUAGCUUAAAAUAACUUACAAUAAUAAUAGUUAAAAAUAACUAUAUAUAAAUGAUUAUAUUGUUACCUUUAAAAUAAAAUAAAAAAAAUGUUUGAAGAUUUAAAUAAUUACAAUGAUAAAGAUUAAAAUGUUAAGCAAAUAAAUUUUAGAAAAUUAAUUAAUAAUAACUACAACUAUAAAUGACAUUAAACUAUAUAUUAUAGUUUAUUUUAUGACAAAAUUGCAAGUUUGGUCCUUGUGGUAUGUCAAAAACUGGAUGUUUGGUCCAAAAAGUUUUGGGGUUGCACUGGUGGUCCAAAAGCUUUGAUUUGUUGUGGAAUUGGUCCAAAGGCUUAACAGCCGUCUACCCCCUCCGUCUAUGUGAGGGUAUUUUUGUCAAUUCAUGCCCAUUCCUUUGAUAUCUUAUUAAAUUAAACCCCCAAACGUCUACUCUCCUUAUUAAUAGAUCGAACGUGUGUUUCAUCUUUUCCCUAAAUCGAUAUCUUCUCCUGCUAAAAUCAAAAUCGUGUCUUCCAAACUCAAAAUCAACAAUGGUUAGGUGUUUCUGUGGUCAAAUGGUGAUAGUGCGAACGACUUGGACUGAUAAGAACCCUGGUCGACGUUUUUGGGGAUGCCCUAAAGAGGAUUCGACAUGUGGGUUUGUGGGAUGGAUCAACCCUCAAAUGUGUGAACGAUCAAAAUCAAUAAUACCUGGGUUGCUGAGAUCAAUCAACAAGCUAAAGACUGAAGUUGGAAAAUUGAAGGAAGAAAAUCAAAUGUUCAAGUAUGAUAUUGGAAAAAUAAAGGAAGAAAAAUCAAAACUAAAGUUGUACCUGAUAUGUAGCUGGGUUUUUUUUGGGUUUGUUUUUUUUUCUGAUGAAGUAGUUCGUCCAUGUUUUAGUGGUUUAUUUUGUGGUAGAUUUGGGAAAAUUGCUAUGUUUGUGAAUGUACUCUUUUGGACAUGCAAGUGAAUGUAUUGUUAUGGUUAGUGGGUAAUGAAGUUAUUUGUUUCAAACA